rnacentral:tRNA from 1 species
UGCGGAUGUGGCGUAAUUGGUAGCCGCGCCAGACUUAGGAUCUGGUGCCGUGAGGCGUGUAGGUUCGAGUCCUAUCAUCCGCACCAA